rnacentral:rRNA from 1 species
AUUGAACGCUGGCGGCAGGCCUAACACAUGCAAGUCGAGCGGAUGAGAAGAGCUUGCUCUUCGAUUCAGCGGCGGACGGGUGAGUAAUGCCUAGGAAUCUGCCUGGUAGUGGGGGACAACGUUUCGAAAGGAACGCUAAUACCGCAUACGUCCUACGGGAGAAAGCAGGGGACCUUCGGGCCUUGCGCUAUCAGAUGAGCCUAGGUCGGAUUAGCUAGUUGGUGAGGUAAUGGCUCACCAAGGCGACGAUCCGUAA